CCCCAUACUCCUUCUCAUUAUAAGAUGAGUCGGGAAAGUUUUUUCGCUAAAGGAUUGGGCUAUAUGGUAUCAGCUUGUUGGUGAGGUAACGGCUCACCAAGGCUAUGACGCCUAACUGGUCUGAGAGGAUGAUCAGUCACACUGGAACUGAGACACGGUCCAGACUCCUACGGGAGGCAGCAGUGGGGAAUAUUACACAAUGGAGGAAACUCUGAUGUAGCAACGCCGCGUGGAGGAUGACACAUUUCGGUGCGUAAACUCCUUUUAUAUGGGAAGAUAAUGACGGUACCAUAUGAAUAAGCACCGGCUAACUCCGUGCCAGCAGCCGCGGUAAUACGGAGGGUGCAAGCGUUACUCGGAAUCACUGGGCGUAAAGCGCAUGUAGGCGGUCUUGUAAGUUGGGUGUGAAAGCCUAUGGCUCAACCAUAGAACUGCACCCAAAACUACUAGACUAGAGUCUGGGAGAGGAAAAUGGAAUUAGUUGUGUAGGGGUAAAAUCCGUAGAGAUAACUAGGAAUACCAAAAGCGAAGGCAAUUUUCUGGAACAGUACUGACGCUCAGAUGCGAAAGCGUGGGUAGCAAACAGGAUUAGAUACCCUGGUAGUCCACGCCCUAAACGAUGAAUGUUAGUCGUCGGGAGCUCGUCCUUUCGGUGAUGCAGCUAACGCAUUAAACAUUCCGCCUGGGGAGUACGGUCGCAAGAUUAAAACUCAAAGGAAUAGACGGGGACCCGCACAAGUGGUGGAGCAUGUGGUUUAAUUCGAAGAUACGCGAAGAACCUUACCUAGCCUUGACAUUGAUAGAAUCCGAUGGAAACAUUGGAGUGCCAGUUUACUGGAGCUUGAAAACAGGUGCUGCACGGCUGUCGUCAGCUCGUGUCGUGAGAUGUUGGGUUAAGUCCCGCAACGAGCGCAACCCUCGUCCUUAGUUACUAACGGUUCGGCCGAGGACUCUAAGGAGACUGCCUUCGUAAGGAGGAGGAAGGUGAGGACGACGUCAAGUCAUCAUGGCCCUUACGGCUAGGGCGACACACGUGCUACAAUGGAUAGGACAAUGAGACGCAAUACCGCGAGGUGGAGCAAAUCUAUAAACCUAUUCUCAGUUCGGAUUGUAGUCUGCAACUCGACUACAUGAAGCUGGAAUCACUAGUAAUCGUAGAUCAGCCAUGCUACGGUGAAUACGUUCCCGGGUCUUGUACUCACCGCCCGUCACACCAUGGGAGUUGAUUUCACCCGAAGCGGGGAAGCUAAACUGGCUACCCUCCACGGUGGAAUCAGCGACUGGGGUGAAGUGGUAACAAGG
rnacentral:rRNA from 1 species